AGAGCGAACGCUGGCGGCAGGCCUAACACAUGCAAGUCGAGCGCCCGUAGCAAUACGGGAGCGGCAGACGGGAUAGUAACACGUGGGAACGCGCCCUUCGGUUCGGAAUAACUCAGGGAAACUUGAGCUAAUACCGAAUACGCCCUUACGGGGAAAGAUUUAUUGCCGAAGGAACGGCCCGCGUCCGAUUAGCUAGUUGGUGAGGUAAUGGCUCACCAAGGCUACGAUCGGUAGCUGGUCUGAGAGGAUGACCAGCAUCACUGGGACUGAGACACGGCCCAGACUCCUACGGGAGGCAGCAGUGGGGAAUAUUGGACAAUGGGCGAAAGCCUGAUCCAGCCAUGCCGCGUGGAUGAUGAAGGCCUUAGGGUUGUAAAGUCCUUUAACGGGGAAGAUAAUGACGGUACCGUAGAAUAAGCCCCGGCUAACUUCGUGCCAGCAGCCGC
rnacentral:rRNA from 1 species